CAAUAGCGUAUAUUAAAGUUGUUGCAGUUAAAAAGCUCGUAGUUGGAUUUCUGGUGGGAGCGAUCGGUCUGGCGCUUAGCGCGAGUACUUGCAUCGUCUCCGGCCAUCCUUGGGGAGAGUCUGUCUGGCACUAAGUUGUCGGGCAGAGGAUCCUCAUCGUUUACUGUGAAAAAAUUAGAGUGUUCAAAGCAGGCUUAUGCCGUUGAAUAUAUUAGCAUGGAAUAAUAAGAUAGGACUUUGGUACUAUUUUGUUGGUUUGCGCACCAAAGUAAUGAUUAAUAGGGACAGUUGGGGGUAUUCGUAUUCCGUUGUCAGAGGUGAAAUUCUUGGAUUUACGGAAGACGAACUACUGCGAAAGCAUUUACCAAGGAUGUUUUCAUUAA
rnacentral:rRNA from 1 species